AGUGAACGCUGGCGGUAGGCCUAACACAUGCAAGUCGAACGGCAGCACAGUAAGAGCUUGCUCUUACGGGUGGCGAGUGGCGGACGGGUGAGGAAUACUUCGGGAUCUACUUUUUCGUGGGGGAUAACGUAGGGAAACUUACGCUAAUACCGCAUACGACCUACGGGUGAAAGCAGGGGAUCUUCGGACCUUGCGCGAUUGAAUGAGCCGAUGUCGGAUUAGCUAGUUGGCGGGGUAAAGGCCCACCAAGGCGACGAUCCGUAGCUGGUCUGAGAGGAUGAUCAGCCACACUGGAACUGAGACACGGUCCAGACUCCUACGGGAGGCAGCAGUGGGGAAUAUUGGACAAUGGGCGCAAGCCUGAUCCAGCCAUACCGCGUGGGUGAAGAAGGCCUUCGGGUUGUAAAGCCCUUUUGUUGGGAAAGAAAAGCAGCAGGUUAAUACCCCGCUGUUCUGACGGUACCCAAAGAAUAAGCACCGGCUAACUUCGUG
rnacentral:rRNA from 1 species